AUUGAACGCUGGCGGUAUGCUUUACACAUGCAAGUCGAACGGUAACAGGCCGCAAGGUGCUGACGAGUGGCGAACGGGUGAGUAAUGCAUCGGAACGUGCCCAGUCGUGGGGGAUAACUACUCGAAAGAGUAGCUAAUACCGCAUACGAUCUAUGGAUGAAAGCGGGGGACCGUAAGGCCUCGCGCGAUUGGAGCGGCCGAUGUCAGAUUAGGUAGUUGGUGGGGUAAAGGCUCACCAAGGCAACGAUCUGUAGCUGGUCUGAGAGGACGACCAGCCACACUGGGACUGAGACACGGCCCAGACUCCUACGGGAGGCAGCAGUGGGGAAUUUUGGACAAUGGGCGCAAGCCUGAUCCAGCAAUGCCGCGUGCAGGAAGAAGGCCUUCGGGUUGUAAACUGCUUUUGUACGGAACGAAACGGCUCUGGUUAAUACCCGGGGCUAAUGACGGUACCGGAAGAAUAAGCACCGGCUAACUACGUG
rnacentral:rRNA from 1 species